rnacentral:rRNA from 1 species
CUGCGAUUACUAGUAACUCCGGCUUCAUGUAGGCGAGUUUCAGCCUACAAUCCGAACUUAGACUGUUUUUAUGGGAUUGGCUCCACCUCGCGGUCUCGCAGCCCUUUGUAACAGCCAUUGUAGCACGUGUGUAGCCCUAAGCAUAAGGGGCAUGAUGAUUUGACGUCAUCCCCACCUUCCUCCGAGUUGUCCUCGGCAGUCUUUCUAGAGUGCCCAGCCGAACUGAUGGCAACUAAAAAUAGGGGUUGCGCUCGUUGCGGGACUUAACCCAACAUCUCACGACACGAGCUGACGACAACCAUGCACCACCUGUCACCUUUGUCUUCCGAAGAAAAGGAGUCCGGUUAAGGACUUUGCAAAGGGAUGUCAAGCCUAG